rnacentral:rRNA from 1 species
UACGUAGGGCGCAAGCGUUGUCCGGAAUUAUUGGGCGUAAAGAGCUCGUAGGUGGUUUGUCGCGUCUGCCGUGAAAACCCGAGGCUUAACCUCGGGCCUGCGGUGGAUACGGGCAAACUAGAGGUAGGUAGGGGAGAACGGAAUUCCCGGUGUAGCGGUGAAAUGCGCAGAUAUCGGGAGGAACACCGGUGGCGAAGGCGGUUCUCUGGGCCUUACCUGGCGCUGAGGAGCGAAAGCCAGGGGAGCAAACGGG